AAGUAAAAGUCGUAACAAGGUUUCCGUAGGUGAACCUGCGGAAGGAUCAUUAACGAGCAAGGGGCUUCGCGCCCCGGGGGUUUCGGCCCCCGACUCUUCACCCCGUGCGUACCUACCUUUGUUGCUUUGGCGGGCCUCGGUUCGCGCCGACGUCGGCCUGGGGGCAACCCCGGGCUCGCGGGUGCCCGCCCGAAGCCGUUUCAAUUCUUUUAUCGGUGUGGUCUGAGGAUAAAUUCAAUAACUAAAACUUUCAACAACGGAUCUCUUGGUUCUGGCAUCGAUGAAGAACGCAGCGAAAUGCGAUAAGUAAUGUGAAUUCGCAGAAUUCAGUGAAUCAUCGAAUCUUUGAACGCACAUUGCGCCCCUUGGCAUUCCGAGGGGCAUGCCUGUUCGAGCGUCAUUGCAACCCUCAAGCACUGCUUGGUAUUGGACCUCGUCCCCCGGACGGGCCCGAAAGUCAGUGGCGGUCCAGCUGGGACUUCGAGCGUAGUAAAUCUCAUCCCGCUUUGGAAGCCCCCGCUGCGGCCCGCCAGCCAACGCUUAAUUACUUUCAAUGGGUUUGACCUCGGAUCAGGUAGGGAUACCCGCUGAACUUAAGCAUAUCAAUAAGCGGAGGAAAAGAAAACCAACAGGGAUUUGCCUCAGUAACGGCGAGUGAAGCGGCAACA
rnacentral:rRNA from 1 species